rnacentral:rRNA from 1 species
CCGCGACGAACGCGGUGAGCAUGUGGUUAAUCGAAGCAACGCGAAGAACCUUACAGGCCUUGACAUGCAGACGAACUUUCCAGAGAGUGGAUUGGUGCCUUCGGGAACUCUGACACAGGUGCUGCAUGGCUGUCGUCAGCUCGUGUCGUGAGAUGUUGGGUUAAGUCCCGUAACGAGCGCAACCCUUGUCCUUAGUUACCAGCACGUUAUGGUGGGCACUCUAAGGAGACUGCCGGUGACAAACCGGAGGAAGGUGGGGAGUGACGUCAAGUCAUCAUGGCCCUUACGGCCUGGGCUACACACGUGCUACAAUGGUCGGUACAAAGGGUUGCCAAGCCGCGAGGUGGAGCUAAUCCCAUAAAACCGAUCGUAGUCCGGAUCGCAGUCUGCAACUCGACUGCAUGAAGUUGGAAUCGCUAGUAAUCGCGGAUCAGCCAAGCCGCGGUGAAUACGUUCCCGGGCCUU